AUCGAACGCUGGCGGCAGGCUUAACACAUGCAAGUCGAGCGGAGCGAGGGUGCUUGCACCUUAGCUUAGCGGCGGACGGGUGAGUAAUGCUUAGGAAUCUGCCUAUUAGUGGGGGACAACAUUCCGAAAGGGAUGCUAAUACCGCAUACGCCCUACGGGGGAAAGCAGGGGAUCUUCGGACCUUGCGCUAAUAGAUGAGCCUAAGUCGGAUUAGCUAGUUGGUGGGGUAAAGGCCUACCAAGGCGACGAUCUGUAGCGGGUCUGAGAGGAUGAUCGGCCACAAUGGGAAGGGGACAAGGCCCAGACUCCUACGGGAGGCAGCAGUGGGGAAUAUUGGACAAUGGGGGGAACCCUGAUCCAGCCAUGCCGCGUGUGUGAAGAAGGCCUUUUGGUUGUAAAGCACUUUAAGCGAGGAGGAGGCGCUCUAGGCUAAUACCCUAGAUGCGUGGACGUUACUCGCAGAAUAAGCACCGGCUAACUCUGUGCCAGCCGCCGCCGUAAGAC
rnacentral:rRNA from 1 species